rnacentral:rRNA from 1 species
CGGGACACGUGGUAUCCUGUCUGAAUAUGGGGGGACCAUCCUCCAAGGCUAAAUACUCCUGACUGACCGAUAGUGAACCAGUACCGUGAGGGAAAGGCGAAAAGAACCCCGGCGAGGGGAGUGAAAAAGAACCUGAAACCGUGUACGUACAAGCAGUGGGAGCACGCUUAGGCGUGUGACUGCGUACCUUUUGUAUAAUGGGUCAGCGACUUAUAUUCUGUAGCAAGGUUAACCGAAUAGGGGAGCCGAAGGGAAACCGAGUCUUAACUGGGCGUUAAGUUGCAGGGUAUAGACCCGAAACCCGGUGAUCUAGCCAUGGGCAGGUUGAAGGUUGGGUAACACUAACUGGAGGACCGAACCGACUAAUGUUGAAAAAUUAGCGGAUGACUUGUGGCUGGGGGUGAAAGGCCAAUCAAACCGGGAGAUAGCUGGUUCUCCCCGAAAGCUAUUUAGGUAGCGCCUCGUGAAUUCAUCUCCGGGGGUAGAGCACUGUUUCGGCAAGGGGGUCAUCCCGACUUACCAACCCGAUGCAAACUGCGAAUACCGGAGAAUGUUAUCACGGGAGACACACGGCGGGUGCUAACGUCCGUCGUGAAGAGGGAAACAACCCAGACCGCCAGCUAAGGUCCCAAAGUCAUGGUUAAGUGGGAAACGAUGUGGGAAGGCCCAGACAGCCAGGAUGUUGGCUUAGAAGCAGCCAUCAUUUAAAGAAAGCGUAAUAGCUCACUGGUCGAGUCGGCCUGCGCGGAAGAUGUAACGGGGCUAAACCAUGCACCGAAGCUGCGGCAGCGACGCUGAUGCGUUGUUGGGUAGGGGAGCGUUCUGUAAGCCUGUGAAGGUGUGCUGUGAGGCAUGCUGGAGGUAUCAGAAGUGCGAAUGCUGACAUAAGUAACGAUAAAGCGGGUGAAAAGCCCGCUCGCCGGAAGACCAAGGGUUCCUGUCCAACGUUAAUCGGGGCAGGGUGAGUCGACCCCUAAGGCGAGGCCGAAAGGCGUAGUCGAUGGGAAACAGGUUAAUAUUCCUGUACUUGGUGUUACUGCGAAGGGGGGACGGAGAAGGCUAUGUUGGCCGGGCGACGGUUGUCCCGGUUUAAGCGUGUAGGCUGGUUUUCCAGGCAAAUCCGGAAAAUCAAGGCUGAGGCGUGAUGACGAGGCACUACGGUGCUGAAGCAACAAAUGCCCUGCUUCCAGGAAAAGCCUCUAAGCAUCAGGUAACAUCAAAUCGUACCCCAAACCGACACAGGUGGUCAGGUAGAGAAUACCAAGGCGCUUGAGAGAACUCGGGUGAAGGAACUAGGCAAAAUGGUGCCGUAACUUCGGGAGAAGGCACGCUGAUAUGUAGGUGAAGCGACUUGCUCGUGGAGCUGAAAUCAGUCGAAGAUACCAGCUGGCUGCAACUGUUUAUUAAAAACACAGCACUGUGCAAACACGAAAGUGGACGUAUACGGUGUGACGCCUGCCCGGUGCCGGAAGGUUAAUUGAUGGGGUCAGCGCAAGCGAAGCUCUUGAUCGAAGCCCCGGUAAACGGCGGCCGUAACUAUAACGGUCCUAAGGUAGCGAAAUUCCUUGUCGGGUAAGUUCCGACCUGCACGAAUGGCGUAAUGAUGGCCAGGCUGUCUCCACCCGAGACUCAGUGAAAUUGAACUCGCUGUGAAGAUGCAGUGUACCCGCGGCAAGACGGAAAGACCCCGUGAACCUUUACUAUAGCUUGACACUGAACAUUGAGCCUUGAUGUGUAGGAUAGGUGGGAGGCUUUGAAGUGUGGACGCCAGUCUGCAUGGAGCCGGCCUUGAAAUACCACCCUUUAAUGUUUGAUGUUCUAACGUUGACCCGUGAUCCGGGUUGCGGACAGUGUCUGGUGGGUAGUUUGACUGGGGCGGUCUCCUCCUAAAGAGUAACGGAGGAGCACGAAGGUUGGCUAAUCCUGGUCGGACAUCAGGAGGUUAGUGCAAUG